rnacentral:RNase_P_RNA from 1 species
UCAGAAGGCUGGAUGACCGCGUUUCGUGCGAGGAAAGUCCGGGCUUCAGAGAAAAAUGGUGCCGGGUAAUACCCGGGCGGUGCAAGCCGAUGGAAAGUGCAACAGAGAGUAGACCGCCGAUGACCUGCUUAGGCAGGCAUAGGUAAGGCUGAAAGGGUGCGGUAAGAGCGCACCGCGUUAUCUGGCAACAGAUGCGGCUAGGUAAACCCCGCCAGAAGCAAGAUCAAAUAGGCGCUGCACAUGGUGUUUUUCUCCACCGCGGCGCGGGUAGAUUGCUAGAGGUGUAUGGUAACAUGCAUCCCAGAUGAAUGGUCAUCCAGUNUCAUGNGAAUGAUAUGGACAGAACCCGGCUUAUAGGCCUUCUGACUUC